rnacentral:piRNA from 1 species
UAUUGAAGGUGUGUCCUUAUUGGAGUAC